ensembl:lncRNA
AGGAUUUCUGGGUAGUCCUUCAGUCUAAUAAUGUGAGUAAAGAAGUUGCCAGUGACUAAUGUUGACAUUUUCAGGGCUACCGGUAGAAAGUCUGCAGCUGAAACCCCGUAAGAGAUGGCUUAGGCUCUGAUUCCAUGACAUUUGCUGUUCCCAACACCCUGGAGACAUAAGAGACAACAUGACGCUUCCACACUUCACAUCUUUCACAACUGAUGUUUGUGCCAAUCACCAUGGUAAUCCUUUAUCAACAAACACUUCAGGGAAUAGAUGGUGAUUUUUCUUGUGUGUUCAUUAUGCAUUUAAUGGACAGUAUCUAAAAAAACUGAGUACACCCCUCACAUUUCUGUAAAUAUUUGAGAAUUUC